GGGUUGACCUCGAAUCCAGGUAGGAAUA
rnacentral:rRNA from 1 species